rnacentral:rRNA from 1 species
UACGAGGGGGGCAAGCGUUGUUCGGAAUUAUUGGGCGUAAAGGGCGCGUAGGCGGUGCGGUAAGACUGUGGUGAAAUCUUCGGGCUCAACUCGAAGCCUGCCGCGGUGACUGCCGUGCUGGAGUGUGGGAGAGGUGAGUGGAAUUCCCGGUGUAGCGGUGAAAUGCGUAGAUAUCGGGAGGAGCACCUGUGGCGAAAGCGGCUCACUGGACCACUACUGACGCUGAUGCGCGAAAGCUAGGGGAGCAAACAGG